CCCUUAGAUGUCCUGGGCCGCACGCGCGUUACACUGAUGCAUUCAACGAGCUUAUAACCUUGGCCGAGAGGCCUGGGCAAUCUUGUUAACGUGCAUCGUGAUAGGGAUAGAUUAUUGAAAUUAUUAAUCUUGAACGAGGAAUUCCUAGUAAACGCAGAUCAUCAAUCUGCAUUGAUUACGUCCCUGCCCUUUGUACACACCGCCCGUCGCACCUACCGAUUGGAUGAUCCGAUGAAUACCAUGGAUUGAGAGUACGAAUAGGUUCGCUUAUUUCUGCUUCUCGAGAAGUGGAGUAAAUCUUAUCAUUUAGAGGAAGGAGAAGUCGUAACA
rnacentral:rRNA from 1 species